rnacentral:rRNA from 1 species
UACAAUGGAGAGUUUGAUCCUGGCUCAGGAUGAACGCUGGCUACAGGCUUAACACAUGCAAGUCGAGGGGAAACGACGGGGAAGCUUGCUUCCUUGGGCGUCGACCGGCGCACGGGUGAGUAACGCGUAUCCAACCUGCCUCUGACUGAGGGAUAACCCGUCGAAAGUCGGCCUAAUACCUCAUGGCAUCGUCUGCGGGCAUCCAACGACGAUUAAAGAUUUCAUCGGUCAGGGAUGGGGAUGCGUCUGAUUAGCUUGUUGGCGGGGUAACGGCCCACCAAGGCUACGAUCAGUAGGGGUUCUGAGAGGAAGGUCCCCCACAUUGGAACUGAGACACGGUCCAAACUCCUACGGGAGGCAGCAGUGAGGAUAUGGUCAAUGGGCGAGAGCCUGAACCAGCCAAGUAGCGUGCAGGAAGACGGCCCCUAUGGGUUGUA